GGGAACAUUCAGCAUAGUGAGAGAAUCACAAGCAGCAAUUGAAAUAUAAGCUCUUUCUUAAAAGGAAAACGGCAAAUAAACCUAGUCACACAAACCCUGUCAUACCGUGUCUAUGGCAGUGCAGGGUACAAAAUAAAUAUGGUGGAAAUGUCCCAUGAUCAAUAGGCCUGCAGCUGUACUAGAACUUGAAGUCAAGCCCAAUAACAUGAGGAAUAAAUAGGUUUCCAUGGAGGCUAGUUCAUACAGGUUACCCUCUUUAGUGGCCAAAGAGAGACGGUUCACAUAGAUACAGAGCCUGCGUAAGACAAUACCCA